rnacentral:rRNA from 1 species
AUUGAACGCUGGCGGCAGGCCUAACACAUGCAAGUCGAACGAGUGGCGGACGGGUGAGUAAUGUCUGGGAAACUGCCCGAUGGAGGGGGAUAACUACUGGAAACGGUAGCUAAUACCGCGUACCAUCGGCUGUGCCCAGAUGGGAUUAGCUAGUUGGUGGGGUAACGGCUCACCUAGGCGACGAUCCCUAGCUGGUCUGAGAGGAUGACAAGCCACACUGGAACUGAGACACGGGCCAGACUCCGACGGGAGGCAGCAGUGGGGAAUAUUGCACAAUGGGCGCAAGCCUGACGCAGCCAUGCCGCGUGAAUGAAGAAGGCCUUCGGGUUGUAAAGUACUUUCAGUGACUAGGCGUUACUCGCAGAAGAAGCACCGGCUAACUCCGUGCCAGCAGCCGCGGUAAUUC